ACAAAAAACAUCGGGGCUCGUUGGCAGAGCAACCGAAGGGCAACGAAACAAAACACAGCCGAGGGGUUGUUUUUGGCAAACAAAACAAAAAAGUCGGAUCGACCUCGAACGCCGAGCGACCAGGUCGCUAGGCCGAGGGAUCCGGCGAACUCGCUGGGUUUUUUUCUCAGCGCCUUGGGCCGUCGAAGCCUCCUCCUCCGAGGGGCUCCGUCGCCUUAAGUACAGACGAGCUCGACCGCGACCCCGGGCUUCCGGAACGGUGGGUCGCUUCAUUCAAAAAGCACUCGGCAUCGUCGGGAGGUUGGCCUCGACGUUAUAAGCACCCGAGUAUGUACUUUCUCACGUAUACCAACAGAUUUCUUACACAAAACCCGGGGGCGGAGUCGGGAGGCUCUGCUUUUUUUCGGGGGUCGGCCGGCGUACCUCGUUGCGCGCCGCGACCGACCGAAUUGGCAUCUUACUUUUUUGA
rnacentral:misc_RNA from 1 species